rnacentral:lncRNA from 1 species
AAAUUGUUUCUUCAAGUUAAUAUUCCAUAAAGGUUUUUGUACCUUUGGAAUUCAAACAUGAAAAAAAUGAGGAUGUCUAGCUUGAUAGCUACAGUAGUAGAAUCCAUCUCACUUCUUGCUUCCAAAAAUAAAGAAAAGAAUGUAAAUUAAAUUUAGAGGAUCAAUUAAAUUUAAAACACUGAAGUUGUGUUUCCAUGCCAAACCAUGAUAAAACUGGGUAUGGAAUUGUCAGUUGGGUGUUUUCUUGGUUCAUGAUUAUUUGUGCAGCUGUUACUUAACUGACAUUCACUCCAAGUUGAAUAUUGAAACUAACAAUGCGUCUGGUUAGGUAUACUCGAAAUGUAUGGUAUGGGGUUGUCUAUGAUAUGUAGGUCUUGUGUUAUUUUCCUCUAUGUGAU